AGAGUUUGAUCCUGGCUCAGGAUGAACGCCGGCGGUGUGCCUAAUACAUGCAAGUCGUACGCGUUGGCCCAACUGAUUUGAAGUGCUUGCACGGAUCUGACGUUGGUUUACCAACGAGUGGCGGACGGGUGAGUAACACGUAGGUAACCUGCCCAGAAGCGGGGGACAACACUUGGAAACAGGUGCUAAUACCGCAUAACAAUUCAAAUCGCAUGAUUUGAAUUUGAAAGAUGGUUUCGGCUAUCACUUCUGGAUGGACCUGCGGCGCAUUAGCUUGUUGGUGGGGUAACGGCCUACCAAGGCAGUGAUGCGUAGCCGAGUUGAGAGACUGAUCGGCCACAAUGGGACUGAGACACGGCCCAUACUCCUACGGGAGGCAGCAGUAGGGAAUCUUCCACAAUGGGCGCAAGCCUGAUGGAGCAACACCGCGUGAGUGAAGAAGGUUUUCGGAUCGUAAAGCUCUGUUGUUGAAGAAGAACGUGCAUGAGAGUAACUGUUCAUGCAGUGACGGUAUUCAACCAGAAAGUCACGGCUAACUACGUGCCAGCAGCCGCGGUAAUACGUAGGUGGCAAGCGUUAUCCGGAUUUAUUGGGCGUAAAGAGAGUGCAGGCGGUUUCUUAAGUCUGAUGUGAAAGCCUUCGGCUCAACCGAAGAAGUGCAUCGGAAACUGGGAAACUUGAGUACAGAAGAGGGCAGUGGAACUCCAUGUGUAGCGGUGGAAUGCGUAGAUAUAUGGAAGAACACCAGUGGCGAAGGCGGCUGCCUGGUCUGUAACUGACGCUGAGACUCGAAAGCAUGGGUAGCGAACAGGAUUAGAUACCCUGGUAGUCCAUGCCGUAAACGAUGAGUGCUAGGUGUUGGAGGGUUUCCGCCCUUCAGUGCCGGAGCUAACGCAUUAAGCACUCCGCCUGGGGAGUACGACCGCAAGGUUGAAACUCAAAGGAAUUGACGGGGGCCCGCACAAGCGGUGGAGCAUGUGGUUUAAUUCGAAGCUACGCGAAGAACCUUACCAGGUCUUGACAUCUUGCGCCAACCCUAGAGAUAGGGCGUUUCCUUCGGGAACGCAAUGACAGGUGGUGCAUGGUCGUCGUCAGCUCGUGUCGUGAGAUGUUGGGUUAAGUCCCGCAACGAGCGCAACCCUUAUUACUAGUUGCCAGCAUUAAGUUGGGCACUCUAGUGAGACUGCCGGUGACAAACCGGAGGAAGGUGGGGACGACGUCAAGUCAUCAUGCCCCUUAUGACCUGGGCUACACACGUGCUACAAUGGACGGUACAACGAGUCGCAAACUCGCGAGGGCAAGCUAAUCUCUUAAAGCCGUUCUCAGUUCGGAUUGUAGGCUGCAACUCGCCUACAUGAAGUCGGAAUCGCUAGUAAUCGCGAAUCAGCAUGUCGCGGUGAAUACGUUCCCGGGCCUUGCACUCACCGCCCGUCA
rnacentral:rRNA from 1 species